rnacentral:rRNA from 1 species
GACGAACCGUGCGAACGUUAUUCGGAAUCACUGGGCUUAAAGCGCGUGUAGGCGGGCCGGCACGUCGGUCGCUGAAAUCCCCCGGCUCAACCGGGGAAGGGGCGCCGAUACGACCGGCCUGGAGGGGCGUAGGGGGACCGGGAACUUCCGGUGGAGCGGUGAAAUGCGUUGAGAUCGGAAGGAACGCCCGUGGCGAAAGCGCGGUCCUGGACGCCUGCUGACGCUGAGACGUGAAAGCCAGGGGAGCGAACGGG